rnacentral:rRNA from 1 species
AACGCGAAGAACCUUACCAAGGUUUGACAUGGCCGGAAAAGCCGCAGAGAUGCGGUGUCCUUCGGGGUCGGUCACAGGUGGUGCAUGGCUGUCGUCAGCUCGUGUCGUGAGAUGUUGGGUUAAGUCCCGCAACGAGCGCAACCCUCGUCCUAUGUUGCCAGCGGGUCAUGCCGGGGACUCAUGGGAGACUGCCGGGGUCAACUCGGAGGAAGGUGGGGAUGACGUCAAGUCAUCAUGCCCCUUAUGUCUUGGGCUGCAAACAUGCUACAAUGGCCGGUACAGAGGGCUGCGAACUCGCGAGGGUAAGCGAAUCCCGGAAAGCCGGUCUCAGUUCGGAUCGGGGUCUGCAACUCGGCCCCGUGAAGCUGGAGUCGCUAGUAAUCGCGGAUCAGCAACGCCGCGGUGAAUACGUUCCCGGGCCUUGUA